rnacentral:snRNA from 1 species
UUGCUGGCUUCAACAGCACAUGUGCUAAAAUUGGAACAAUAUGGAGAAGAUUAGCUUGGCCCCUGGGCAAGAAUGAUACGCAAAUUUGUGAAGGGUCCCAUAUUUUU